rnacentral:rRNA from 1 species
AGUGGCGGACGGGUGAGUAACGCGUAAGAAUCUAACUUCAGGACGGGGACAACAGUGGGGAACGACUGCUAAUACCCGAUGUGCCGCGAGGUGAAACCUAAUUGGCCUGAAGAAGAGCUUGCGUCUGAUUAGCUAGUUGGUGGGGUAAGAGCCUACCAAGGCGACGAUCAGUAGCUGGUCUGAGAGGAUGAGCAGCCACACUGGGACUGAGACACGGCCCAGACUCCUACGGGAGGCAGCAGUGGGGAAUUUUCCGCAAUGGGCGAAAGCCUGACGGAGCAACGCCGCGUGAGGGAGGAAGGUCUUUGGAUUGUAAACCUCUUUUCUCAAGGAAGAAGUUCUGACGGUACUUGAGGAAUCAGCCUCGGCUAACUCCGUGCCAGCAGCCGCGGUAAUACGGGGGAGGCAAGCGUUAUCCGGAAUUAUUGGGCGUAAAGCGUCCGCAGGUGGUCAGCCAAGUCUGCCGUCAAAUCAGGUUGCUUAACGACCUAAAGGCGGUGGAAACUGGCAGACUAGAGAGCAGUAGGGGUAGCAGGAAUUCCCAGUGUAGCGGUGAAAUGCGUAGAGAUUGGGAAGAACAUCGGUGGCGAAAGCGUGCUACUGGGCUAUAUCUGACACUCAGGGACGAAAGCUAGGGGAGCGAAAGGGAUUAGAUACCCCUGUAGUCCUAGCCGUAAACGAUGGAUACUAGGCGUGGCUU